rnacentral:rRNA from 1 species
GACGAACGCUGGCGGCGUGCUUAACACAUGCAAGUCGAACGGAAAGGCCCUGCUUUUGUGGGGUGCUCGAGUGGCGAACGGGUUAGUAACACGUGAGUAACCUGCCCUUGACUUUGGGAUAACUUCAGGAAACUGGGGCUAAUACCGGAUAGGAGCUCCUGCUGCAUGGUGGGGGUUGGAAAGUUUCGGCGGUUGGGGAUGGACUCGCGGCUUAUCAGCUUGUUGGUGGGGUAGUGGCUUACCAAGGCUUUGACGGGUAGCCGGCCUGAGAGGGUGACCGGCCACAUUGGGACUGAGAUACGGCCCAGACUCCUACGGGAGGCAGAAGUGGGGAAUAUUGCACAAUGGGCGGAAGACUGAUGCAGCAACGCCGCGUGCGGGAUGACGGCCUUCGGGUUGUAAACCGCUUUCGCCUGUGACGAAGCGUGAGUGACGGUAAUGGGUAAAGAAGCACCGGCUAACUACGUG